ensembl:lncRNA
AUGGGACCCAGAGCGGCACCUGGACCCGGCCGAGGGAUUUUCCAGGCUGCUGGAGAGCAAAGCAGGGGGAGGUGGGCUGGGGAUGGAUGCGGGCGUCCUCACUGCGUGCGCUCCCCGAAGAGAAAGGAUUGCUCUUUGCAGGGAGUGUGGAUUUUAGAAUUGACAAGCAAAUCCGUUAAUUAGUUUAUGAGCUGGCAUUAAUUAGAAACGGGUCCUCGAAGGGCCGAUGUCGUUAGGUCUGACUGACAGGAAUAGUGGUGAGCUGAGUUAAGUGAGAUCCUCGCAGCCAGCUGGGUCAGCUCCAGGCUCCUGAAUUGGCCCAGCUUGGAAACAGCAGAGAGUGCAGCAAGAGGUGAUGCCCUGGGGGGGCUGCGUCCCCUCCUGGUGCUCCUCAGAAAGGUGGGGGUAGACGAGGUGUGCUCAUGUUUGGGUGACAUCUGCACCCAUCAGGUGGUGCAUCCAACCCGGCAGGGCUGCUGCGUCUCCAGGAAAGGGCUGGAGGACACCACGAGGGCUCAGAGCCUCAUGUUGGGGUGGAAUUCAGACCCGCUGUAGGGAUGGAGGGGUGCAGUGGUGGAGGUGCACCCUCUCGUGGUGGCUACAGGGCGCUCCAUAACCCCCAUUUCCCCCCCAUCCACCCCCCCCCCCCCAAAGUCCUUUGGGGACCUUUGGGGGCUCAGCAUCCUGCUGUCACCGGGUACCACCACCAUGGGUGCCCCGUCCCCAUCCCCACCACCUGCUCCGAGCAUCCUCACUCUGUCCUUUGGUGCCCAAAGUGUCACCUUCGUAAGGUCCAUCCCUGCGCUGUGGGGACGAAGCCACCCUGCUCCGUGCCCUGUGCAACCACCAGGGCUCUGCCAGCCCUUCAGGCUCCUUCAGGCUCCGUUCCACCCUGAGCAAACCCAUCGCUGCUGAUGCUGUAGCCCAGCUCAGAGCACAGCCAGGACGGUGUGUGCCACCUCCCCGAGGACAUCCCACUCUGCGGCAGCUCCCAGCAGCCCUUCUGCCAGCAGAACACGGCGCACUUCUCACCGCACGAUGAGACUUUUCUCACCUGAGGUGGCACAUUGGAGGUGGGAGCUGCUGCUGGCGGUGCUGCCGUUGUCACUGCAUACGUUUAUCCACCCGCUGUGCUUUCCUUGGCUGGUGCAGAAGGGGGGGGCUGCGCCAUCAGAGCGCUGCUGUGUGGGUGCACAGCACAGCUGGGUGCUCUGAGCUGCUCAGAAGUGCUGGAAGGUGGUGGUCCCUUCCAACCCAACCAUCCUAUGGCUGUGUGACCUCUUUGGUCCCUUCCAACCCAUCCAUCCUAUGGCUCCAUGACCUUUCAGGUCCUUCCAACUCAGCCAUUUUAUGGCUCGGUGACCUCCGAGGUCCCUUCCAACCCAACCAUCCCAUAGUCCUAUGAUUCCAUGGCUCUGUGACUCUGUGAUGGGAGCAGAAGGCAGCUCAGCAAAGAAGGAUGAGCCCUUUGUCCUUUGGGAUGGGCUGGUGGUGGACUACCCCCUUUAGUCCACCCUCCUAACCCUAAACCCAAUGCUCCAAGCUGAAGCAGAGCUCAGCAAGUCCAUGAGGAUCCCCAUAGCAUCCACAGGAGGGACACCAGAAGGCGCUGAGUUCAGGUUUGGGACGCCAAGGAGCACCGGUUUGUCGGUCAGAAAGCAUUGGGGUGGAGCUGAGGGACACCGGGAGGCUGCGCUUUGCUUUCCCCACACGACUCCCUGCUCACACACAGCUUUUGGGGCGCAGCCCAUGGGACCAACCCCUCCUCGCCACCUCUCUGCGCUUUGCCUGCGCUGUGGGACGGAUCCACGCAGCGCACGGCUCCAAGAAGGAGCCAAGAAGCUUCUCCCCCACUCCCGGGUAGAUCAGCAUCCUCCCACGGCGCUGCCAGCAUCAUCCUCAUCGCCAUGGCAACCCAGCAUCCCCCCCCCGCUCCCCCC